AACCCGCCUGCAUGAAGUUGGAACUGCUAGUAAUCGCGGAUCAGCAUGCCGCGGUGAAUACGUUCCCGGGGAUUGUACACACCGCCCGUCACACCAUGAGAGUCGGGAACACCCAAAGUCCGUAGUCUAACCGCAAGGAGGACGCGGCCUAAGGUGGGUUCGAUAAUUGGGGUGAAGUCGUAACAAGGUAGC
rnacentral:rRNA from 1 species